rnacentral:rRNA from 1 species
AUUGAACGCUGGCGGCAGGCCUAACACAUGCAAGUCGAACGGUAACAGAAAGCAGCUUGCUGCUUUGCUGACGAGUGGCGGACGGGUGAGUAAUGUCUGGGAAACUGCCUGAUGGAGGGGGAUAACUACUGGAAACGGUAGCUAAUACCGCAUAACGUCGCCAGCCCAAAGAGGGGGACCUUCGGGCCUCUUGCCAUCGGAUGUGCCCAGAUGGGAUUAGCUUGGUGGUGGGGUUACGGCUCAACAAGGGGACGAUCCCUAUCUGGUCGGAGGGGAGGACCAGCCACACUGGAACUGAGACACCGUCCAGACGCCUACGGGAGGCAGCAGUGGGGAAUAUUGCACAAUGGGCGCAAGCCUGAUGCAGCCAUGCCGCGUGUAUGAAGAAGGCCUUCGGGUUGGAAAGUACUUUCAGCGGGGAGGAAGGGAGUAAAGUUAAUACCUUUGCUCAUUGACGUUACCCGCAGAAGAAGCACCGGCUAACUCCGUG